ensembl:lncRNA
CACAGCUUAAGAGAGACCUUCCCCCUUUGAAAGAUUAAUUCAUUUGCCAGAGUUCUCAAAUCUAUAGCCUGCUACCUCCUAAGAGACCUGGCUACAUUGAUUUUUCCCUCUUUCUGCAGUGACUUCAAAGAAAACAAUUAGCUGACAUUGGUUGAGAGGAUGUGGACCCACAUUCACAGGAUAGGGAUAUGAGGACGGAUCUGAUAAAAAAGAAUUAAAAAGUAUCUGCAUUAAGAUCCUAUUCAACAAAUGCAUGAGGCUAUUAACCAAAGUCAAUAUAAUAAAAGCAGGAAGGAAAACACAUUCAAACCUUUCAAUUGAAGCUGUGUGGGCUGCACAAUUAUAAAGCAUAUUUACUAAUAAAGUGAAACCUGAGAUUAUACAGCAUGAACGUGCUAGAUUGUAGCCAGUGUUCUAUAUUCAGCUGUAAUCUAAACAUACUCAUAUGAAUUCCAACUGAAAGCAGGAAAAUGUCUUCGAAGUAUCCUCUAUUUCCAAUGCAUUGCCAAAUUCUCUCUUCUAAUUUUUCAUUUCAUAAAGUAUACAGAGCUAACCAUCCUUGGAUUCUCAAUCAACAUCAAAUAGCUAACCGCUUGAAACUGGGCUUGGAAAAGCUCAUUUGCAUUCGUGCAGCAAGGCUGGAGAAUAAACCAAGCAAAUGCGUCUAUUUGUGUACUUCAAUAUAUGACUGUGCUUGCUUCAAUCAAGACUUAUUUUCAGUAUCAUGGCCAACAAAAGCAUUAAACGAGUUUUCUCCAACAUGAGUGAUAAGCUGUAGAAUGUAUUUCUUUAAAGGAUUUUUUUUUUCUGUGACGCUUAUGGAAUGCAAUAAAAAACAGAAGCAAGAGUGCA